AAUGUGUGACUUAGCCAUGACGCGUGUGCUGUGCGCGCUGAACACGUGCCCUUUUAAAAACACUAGGCUUGUUCGACUUCAUGCGGCGCUGCAAGAACCGACAGCCGGAUGACGUCAAAGUACCGCGAGAACGAUUCGAGAACUCAUACGAAGUGUAAUUUCGUCUCGCUCUCGCGGCACUUUAACGUCAUCCGUCUAGCGGGGCCGCAGGAAGUCGAAUAGCCUUCUUUCUCAUUGCGGAUUACCAGGUGGGACUGACGAAGCUCCUCUUUCACGGGUUUCUUUACUGUUUUCAGGAGUGACAAAAUAACCUCUUUAAUAGAAGAAAAGCUGAAGAUUUCAACAUUUUCUGAAGGGAGCUACAUACAGAGAUGUAAACUCAGGCAGAUUUUCCAGGCUGAUAUCCGUGCAGCAGAGUCGAAGCAGACCUGUCAGAAAACAUCUCUAAGGUGUUAUGAAUCUCAUAACUAGAUACACAUCAUAAGAUGACUAGAGCUUACGGCUGUUUGGAUCCAGCCUCACUUGUGAAGACUUCAGAUGACGUAAACACUCACAAAGACAUUAUAUGAUGGCAUGCAUCUAUAGAUGGACAUAAACAACUGCCAAAUGUAAUAUAUUGUAAUUACUGCACCAAAGCACAACUCUGCAGAUUUUCAACCCACUUAAUAUUGUUACAAAUACAAUAUGUUUAUAUUUGAAAAAAUAUUCUUUAGCUAAUUUUACAGAUUUAUUUCCAUUUAUUUGUCCACAAUACUCUGCCAAAAUGAUGAUUUGCAUCAUCCAAAUAUUGUUAAUGUACAUAUUACAGACAUUGUAACAACACAAAGUGGGUUGAAAUCCUGCUAACUUACUCUAUAAAAAUAACUGUCUGUUAACUAAACAUGACUUUAACACAUGACUUGUAUUAUAUUAGAGCUGUUGUGAUAUGAAUAUUGAUUUGUUUCCAGAAUAUGCUCCUCAGUGUGACACUUACAGUACCUCAGGCUGAUUAAGGGAUCUUUUGUAACCUUGAAACAUGCAUUUUCUUAAAAUGGCAGUAUUGUGAAGCACAAUAUACCCUAUCAUGGUUUUACUUUGGUGAAACUGCAGAUCAUUUUUCAAACUAAGGUUUUGUUACUGUGGUUCUACUA